AGCUUUGGUUCUUUUUCAUUUAUACGAAAAAAUCUUUCGCCUUUUACUAAAGAUUUCCGUGGAGGAGAACAAUUAUAUAACAAAAAAUAUUCACUCACUAGCAAAUCCUCUAGGUUCCUG